ensembl:snRNA U6 U6 spliceosomal RNA
NNNNUCACUUUGCAGCACACAUACUAAACUUGGAAUGAUACAGAGAUUAGCAUGGUCCCUGUGCAAGGAAAACACCAAGACUCAAAAUUUUCCCUUACUA